GGGUCCUGAUCUAAAGUAGUGCCCUACUUUUAACCACAUCCCUAUGGGUCCUGAUCUAAAGUAGUGCCCUAUAUAGGGAAUAGGGUGCCAUUUGGUCUGCAUUAAAAUAACAAACCACAGAUCAAUAAAUGUCUUAAAUUAGAAUAAUCAUAAUAUUCAUAAAUAAACAUUUAAUACUCAAACACCAGCAGAGAAAAAACAGAAAAAUAGACACGUCAUCUUUUUUUAAUACUUCAUAAUAUUUUUGAAAAGUUUUGAAAAUGUAAAAACUGUUACAAACUCAUGCAAAAUAAAUCAACUCAGUCGUUUAAUAUAUUAACAGAACACCAGUAAUAAUAAUCUCAUAGUUGGGUCCCCUAUUCCCUACAUAGUGCACUAGUAUAUAGUGAACAGGGAGCUAUUGGGACACCCAGUAGUAAGAUAAUGUGAAACCACGGGUCGCAUCCCCAAUGACUCCCUGUUCCCUAUUUAUAGAAAGCUCUGGUUGAAGUAGUGCACUGCUAUAUAGGGUCCACUACAGUAAACAACACAAAAUACAUCCCAAAUGGCACCCUAUUCCCUAUAUAGUGAACUACUUUAGAUCAGGGCCCUAUAUAGUGCACUACUUUAGACCAGAGCCCUAUGGGUAGUGUACUACAUAGUGAAUAGGGGCCCAUUGGGAACAGCCCAAGGUUCAUCAGUCAAGCAAGCAGAGCGAUCUCAUAAAGGACAGAGUCAUAAUAUAAUAUGAUAAUAAAUCUUCAACCAGACUGUAUGUUACAGUAUGUACACCAAGCCCAGUCAGACAGCACCUUCUAUCACGUCUACAGUUGGUUUGGUUUUCUCUUUCUUUCAGAGUUGGUAGGUUGUAAUAGAGUGCAAUAGUAAAAAUGAGUAUUACGCGUUCUUACCGCCGUAGAGUGUUUAUGAACCAUUAUAGUGUGCUAUAAACCAUUAAUACAGUUUAUAAACCAUUAAUACAUGUAAUCAGUGUAUAAACCAGUGUGUGUAAUAAUUGUGUGUUGGUAAACAUCUUUCUGUGUUGUCUGUCAGAAGGGUUUGAAGACACUGCAUUUUUUAAAUCAGUCAAAUUAACAUUUGAUCUCCUUAGACACAAAAAUAUUUAAUAUUCUGAUUAUUGUGCUCAAUCCCUGACCUUUAACCCCUGACCCUGAAAAGGAUGAGUUAAGGACGUUGUGUUAGCCUGACCUCUAACCCUGAUAAUGUAAAGGAUCAGGACGUUUACAGUCUCUCGCAGACCAAACCCUCCUACAACCACCCUGCAACGUUACAGCAACCAACCUAUAAUGCUCCUACAACACAAUCUGAAACCUCACUGUCUUCAUUAUCAUCAAACCCCUCCUAGCUUCUAUAACUGACUAGUUAGUAAAAUGGUCUCAGUCAGUUGAUUGGUUGGUUUGUUUCUUUAAGACUUUGGGACACCUGGUGGUUUCUCUCUAGGUGGUCUAGAUCUAUACUGGUUAUAUCUACACUAACAUGAGGUGGUUUCUCUCUAGGUUGUGUAGAUCUAUACUGGUUCUAUCUACACUAACAUGAGGUGGUUUCUCUCUAGGUGGUCUAGAUCUAUACUGGUUCAAUCUACACUAACAUGAGAUGGUUCCUCUCUAGGUGGUCUAGAUCUAUACUGGUUCUAUCUACACUAACAUGAGGUGGUUCUCUCUAGGUGGUCUAGAUCUAUACUGGUUCUAUCUACACGUACAUGAGGUGGUUCCUCUCUAGGUGGUCUAGAUCUAUACUGGUUCUAUCUACACUAACAUGAGGUGGUUCUCUCUAG
ensembl:lncRNA